CAGGACUGGGCGAGGCGCCUGCGCGGGGGCUUCUGGGAGCGGGAGUCUCGGUCGCAGGGCCGCGCGGUACGGAGCUCACCGGAGAACUACGAUUCCCACAGUGCACUGCGGCGCCCCCGGCGCGCUCCAUGCGCCCAGGCUGGGCUUCUGAGAGGAGUGUUUGUGGGGCCGCCUUGGGAGGGGUCGUGAUCAGGUUUGGCUCGGCAGACAGGCCAGUACCCAAGUCCACUGGGCCUCAUGGAGCGGAGAGAAUCGUGUCCUGUACCUGGAGCCCACAGCAGCCCGGGCGCAUCAGAUAGCCCUCUUCAUUCUACCGGGACGUCGCGAGGUUCUGGGACGGAUGGGUAGCAAGGCUGGUGUUUCUGUGGGCUAAAGGUCACGUCUCCUCCGAGAUGCCUGCUCCGUGGAGCUCCUGUCACCCUCUCCACUCCUUCCCUUCACACCUUGUGGUUUAGGAGGGGAUCCUAAGUUCCCAGCGCCAGUGCUGCACUCUCCUGUGGGUUCCCCACACCAGCCCACACCAUGUAAAUAGUUUGCGUAUAAACUUCCUCAGUUCUCCCA